rnacentral:rRNA from 1 species
UACAGAGACUGCAAGCGUUAUUCGGAUCCACUGGGCGUAAAGGGUGCGCAGGCGGCCAAGUGUGUCAGGUGUGAAAUCCCGAGGCUUAACCUCGGAACUGCGCCUGAAACUACUUGGCUAGAGUACUGGAGAGGGUAACGGAAUUCACGGUGUAGCAGUGAAAUGCGUAGAUAUCGUGAGGAACACCAGAGGCGAAGGCGGUUACCUGGACAGUUACUGACGCUCAGGCACGAAAGCGUGGGGAGCAAAAGGG